CGGGGCGUAGCGCAGCCUGGUAGCGCACCUGCAUGGGGUGCAGGGGGUCGUAGGUUCAAAUCCUACCGUUCCGACCA
rnacentral:tRNA from 1 species